CGCCUAAUACAUGCAAGUCGAGCGAGAAAGGGAUUCGUCCCCAGUAAAGCGGCGCACGGGUGAGUAACACGUAGGUAAUAUGCCCUCGGGUGGUGGAUAACAUUCCGAAAGGAGUGCUAAUACAGCAUAACACCGCAAGGACAAAGCGGGCCUCUCUAUAGAAGCUCGCGCCUGAGGAUUAGCCUGCGGCCCAUCAGCUAGUUGGCAGUGUAAUAGACUACCAAGGCUAAGACGGGUAGCUGGUCUGAGAGGAUGAACAGCCACACUGGAACUGAGACACGGUCCAGACUCCUACGGGAGGCAGCAGUAGGGAAUCUUGCGCAAUGGGCGAAAGCCUGACGCAGCGACGCCGCGUGAGUGAUGAAGGCCUUCGGGUUGUAAAGCUC
rnacentral:rRNA from 1 species